rnacentral:lncRNA from 1 species
CUUUACUUUUUAAUUUAACUUUACCUUUAUUUUCUUUUGUUGCUUUUUCUCUUCUCGGAAGCCUUACCUACUUUCAUCAUGUAUGCCUAGUUCAUUUUACCUAAUGAAUAAAGCAGGUAGCUUGCAACCUUUUCUAUAAAAAAAAAAAAGUAUUUAUCUCGAGACCCCUAGGACGGGCGAGUCAGGAGCAGAUAUGUCCAAUAAUAUCUAUAUUUUUAUUUUUUUAAAAUAAAAAUUAUUGCAUAAAAUUCGUGCAAGAGAUAACUCUGCUUUUAAUAUACUGUAAUUUACCUCACCCUAAUUAAGUGAUGUCAAAAUUAAUUACAAGAGAGAAAAGAAGAUAAAAGAAAUAGCAAAAAGUUAAUUACUAUAACUUUUUUAUCCUCUUAUGCAAUAAUGUAAAAAUUGUUAGUAAAAUAAAUAAAAAAGUAGAAUAAUUACAAUUCAGAAGUCAUUGAUUUCUUAUCAAAUAAGUGGUGGUAAAAAACAAAAAAAAAAAAACAAAACAAAAACUAGACUUUAACUCAACUAAAAAUUAUUAUCAAUUUGAAAAUUACUUAACGCCUAAACAAGAAGAUGAUAGAUCUUUAUAGAUAUGUAAGAUAACAAUAAAAAUAAAUAUAUAUCAAAAUUCAUAAUCAUAAAUAAAAUAAAAUAACUCAAGAGAAAAAAUUCUUCGAUUAAUCUGCGGAAGCGAGAAGUUCGGCUAUGAUCUGGAAGUCACGAAUCGAACUUGGGUAAUUUGGUUUUUCCUCCUAUCUCAGACACUCUCUCGUAUGGUGUGGAAUCGAUGGUAAUUCUUUACCAGAAUGCGCAUAUGAGAAGGUGGAAGGACCAAUACCCUUUUAUAUAGAGUCCAAAUCGACUUCCCAUCAAACUCUGAUGAGAAUUCUAUUUAAUUUAAAUAGAUGGGAUAGUGAUAAAAUAUACUAUAUCAAAUAAUUCUAUAUCUAUUAGAAUUGACCUUUAUCUAUAGUAAAUCCAUAUUUGAAUAUGAUUAAUUAGACCACAUUUAUGAAAAUCCUAACAAUCUCCCGCUUGGCUUAUAUUAAUCAUACUUUAUGAAUGGAUUUUCGAUGCUUCAAACUUUAUUACAUAUUAUUGAAACUUUAUAGUCAAAUAGCUCAGAACUCGCUUAAUCUUUAGCUCAAAAUAAAAGACUACAAUGAUAGGAAUUAUGGCGGUCCACAUUUUCAUAUUAAAAAUUUUCUUCCAUAAUUAGACUAAAUUACAUAAAACCCCCCCGUCAAAACCCGAUUUUUCACUUUUCCCCCCUGUCAUUUAAAAACCUGCACUUUGCCCCUUUGUAAAAUAAAAAAUAUUCACAGGAAGGGUACGGUGUGUACUGUGAUGAUAAAAUGACCAUUUUGCCCCUUACCAUUUUCGUCUCCUCCCUCAUUUUUCUCAACAGCAGCCUGAAUCAGCCGCGGUUCACACCUCAAUCGGUUGCGGUUUCUCUCCAUUUUCUUCUCCACCUGCUCCCCUCUCCUCCUGCACCCUCGUCGCUCCUCAAUUUCGGCAACAGUAGUGUGGAAAUCGAGGUAGAGGUGGAUGGAGAGGUGGGUAACGGCAACGAGGGCGUAGGCGAGGCGGCGGAGGAGGGCGAAGAGGUGUUUGUGGGCGCGGACGGGGAUGUGGGCGAGGGCGAAGCAGUGGAGAAGGGCGAGGCGGCGAGACGGAGGAAGGCGAAGCAACAAGAAAGAGGGCGGAGGGGUAUUUUUGGUAUAAAAACAUAUUUUAUAACUGAACCUCAACGAAUCACUAACGGUAGGAGGCAAAGUGCACAUUUUGAAUUUUACAAGGGGGCAAAGUGUAGGUUUUUAAAUGACAGGGGGGGAAGUGAAAAAUCGCUUUUUGACAGGGGGUUUUCUGUAAUUUAGCCUAAUUACUAUAUUAUUUUCAUCUCCUAGCCGAGUACUUUAUAUGGCACAACUUUAUAAAUGAACUUAAAACUAUGGGCGUGUUUGGUUCGAAGUCGGAAUCGGAAUCAAAAUAAGCUGGAAUCGGAAUCGAAAUGACUCAUUACAGAAUUCUGUUUGGUUCAUCACCUGAAUCGGAAUCGGAAUAAAUUAUUCUCAUUGUCGGUGUUUGGUUCAGGUAAAUAUAAAAAACGUAAUCAGAUUAAUAUAUUAACUUUAUCUUUAUAAUAUAUUAAUUUAAAUUCAAAUUAAAAAUUAAAUAUUAAAAUUUUAUAUCAAAAUUUUGAAAUGAUGUCAAAAUUUUAAAUCUAUUCUUUUUAAAAAAUUAAACUUUGAAGUUGAGUAGAUAAUUCGAAAUAUAAAACUAAAUUUCGAUUUAUUCAAAUUCAAACUUAAAAAUUACAAUUUAAAUUUUAAUUUGAAUCCAUAAAUUUAAUUUAAGUUUUAAAUAAAAUUUGAAUAAAACUUUAUAUAAAUUAAAAUUUAAUUUAAAUUCAAAUUCAUAAGUUAGAUUCGAAAUACUUGAUUAAAUUUUAAUUUUUAAUUCAAGUUCAAAUUAAAAUUUAAAAUUUAAAAUUUAAUUUCUAAAUUUAAACACAUAUUUUAAUUAAAAAAGUUGAAAAAAUAAAUUUAAUCCGAAUUAAUAUCCAUUCCGUCUGGAUUCAACUUCCAAUCCGGCCUCCUAGGCCGGAUUGAAAAAAAGGGUGAUUGGGGGAUUCCCAUUCCACUCGGGAAUCGGAAUCGGAAUGGGACUUCCGCGUACCAAACACCCACAAACGGAUUCACCCAUUCCGAUUCCGAUUCCAGGGUGAAAAAAAAAGCGAACCAAACACGCCCUAUAUGUCCAUUUAUUAACAGACAAAACUUUAUGUCUAUUAAAUAAUCCAACACAACUGCAUUAAACUUUAACUUUAUUAAAAAGAUAGAAUAUUAUAAUCUUAUACAUCAAAAGAACUAAUCAAACCCAUACUUUUAACAUGAUUUGCAUAUGACCCAGGUGCCAGCCCCUUGGUCAUUGGGUCUGCAGUCAUACACUUGGUACUGAUGUAUUCAAUUGUAAUAUAACAUUCCUCUAUCUUCCCUGACACAACAAGAUAUUUAGUAUCUAAGUGUUUAUACCGUAAUAUACUGAACUUCUGC